AGUUCGAACGAGCGAGAGAGAGCUUGCUUUCUCGAGCGAGUGGCGAACGGGUGAGUAACGCGUGAGGAACCUGCCUCAAAGAGGGGGACAACAGUUGGAAACGACUGCUAAUACCGCAUAAGCCCACGACCCGGCAUCGGGUUGAGGGAAAAGGAGCAAUCCGCUUUGAGAUGGCCUCGCGUCCGAUUAGCUGGUUGGUGAGGUAACGGCCCACCAAGGCGACGAUCGGUAGCCGGACUGAGAGGUUGAACGGCCACAUUGGGACUGAGACACGGCCCAGACUCCUACGGGAGGCAGCAGUGGGGAAUAUUGCACAAUGGGGGAAACCCUGAUGCAGCGACGCCGCGUGGAGGAAGAAGGUCUUCGGAUUGUAAACUCCUGUUGUUGAGGAAGAUAAUGACGGUACUCAACAAGGAAGUGACGGCUAACUACGUGCCAGCAGCCGCGGUAAAACGUAGGUCACAAGCGUUGUCCGGAAUUACUGGGUGUAAAGGGAGCGCAGGCGGGAAGACAAGUUGGAAGUGAAAUCUAUGGGCUCAACCCAUAAACUGCUUUCAAAACUGUUUUUCUUGAGUAGUGCAGAGGUAGGCGGAAUUCCCGGUGUAGCGGUGGAAUGCGUAGAUAUCGGGAGGAACACCAGUGGCGAAGGCGGCCUACUGGGCACCAACUGACGCUGAGGCUCGAAAGUGUGGGUAGCAAACAGGAUUAGAUACCCUGGUAGUCCACACCGUAAACGAUGAUUACUAGGUGUUGGAGGAUUGACCCCUUCAGUGCCGCA
rnacentral:rRNA from 1 species